rnacentral:lncRNA from 1 species
GAAUGGCAUGAACCCGGGAGGCGGAGCUUGCAGUGAGUGGAGAUCGCGCCACUGCACUCCAGCCUAGGCAACAGAGCGAGACUCCGUCAAAAAAAAUAAAAGAAAAAAAAAUCCCUGUGAACAACUUACAGCAAAAAUGAAACAAAUGAAAAAUAAGCUUCGUGUACUACAAAAGGAACUAACAGAAGCAAAAUAAAUAAAAUCAUAGAGAAUCAAAAACUUAAAAGAGAACAAGAGCUCUGCAGUGUGAGAUUGACUUUAAACCAAGAAGAAGAGAAGAGAAGAAAUGCCAAUAUAUUAAAUGAAAAAUUAGGGAAGAAUUAGGAAAAAUCGAAGAGCAACAAAAGAAAAAGUUAGAAGUGAAGCAACUUGAGCUCACUCUCCGAAUAUACAAAAUAUGGAAUUGAAGACUGUAAGAAGUAAUUUGAAUCAGCUCAAUCAAUCGCUGCGAUGUAUGAAAGAUCUAAUUUCUCUACGGCCUCACCAGGGUGGAGUGCAGUGGCGCACUCUCAGCUCACUGCAAGCUCCACCUCCCGGGUUCACGCCAUCCUCCUGCCUCAGCCUCCCGAGAAGCUGGGACUACGGGCGCCUGCCACCACGCCCGGCUAAUUUUUUGUAUUUUUUAGUAGAGAUGGGGUUUCACCAUGUUAGCCAGGAUGGUCUUGAUCUCCUGACCUCGUGAUCCGUCCGCCUCAGCCUCCCAAAGUGCUGGGAUUACAGGCGUGAGCCACCGUGCCCAACCAUUUGUCAUUUUUUAUUGUGGGUACACUAGUGGGUGUUAAGUGAUAUCUGCUUGUGGUUUUGAUUUUGCAUUUUCUUGAUGGCUUGUGAUGUUAGGCUUUUCUUCAAGCACUUAUUGGACGCUCUUAUAUCUUCUUCACAAAAAUGUCUAUUUAAAUAUUUUGCCUAUUUUUAUGUAUUUUUUCUUUUUGUUGUUGAGUUGUAAAAGCUAUUUGUGCAUUUUGG